rnacentral:rRNA from 2 species
GGCGGCGUGCUAAUACAUGCAAGUCGAGCGAAUCUUUGGGAGCUUGCUCCCAUUGGUUAGCGGCGGACGGGUGAGUAACACGUGGGCAACCUGCCUGUAAGACUGGGAUAACACCGGGAAACCGGUGCUAAUACCGGAUAAUCCUUUUCCUCUCAUGAGGGAAAGCUGAAAGACGGUUUCGGCUGUCACUUACAGAUGGGCCCGCGGCGCAUUAGCUAGUUGGUGAGGUAACGGCUCACCAAGGCGACGAUGCGUAGCCGACCUGAGAGGGUGAUCGGCCACACUGGGACUGAGACACGGCCCAGACUCCUACGGGAGGCAGCAGUAGGGAAUCUUCCGCAAUGGACGAAAGUCUGACGGAGCAACGCCGCGUGAGCGAUGAAGGCCUUCGGGUCGUAAAGCUCUGUUGUUAGGGAAGAACAAGUAUCGGAGUAACUGCCGGUACCUUGACGGUACCUAACCAGAAAGCCACGGCUAACUACGUGCCAGCAGCCGCGGUAAUACGUAGGUGGCAAGCGUUGUCCGGAAUUAUUGGGCGUAAAGCGCGCGCAGGCGGUCCUUUAAGUCUGAUGUGAAAGCCCACGGCUCAACCGUGGAGGGUCAUUGGAAACUGGGGGACUUGAGUGCAGAAGAGGAAAGCGGAAUUCCACGUGUAGCGGUGAAAUGCGUAGAGAUGUGGAGGAACACCAGUGGCGAAGGCGGCUUUCUGGUCUGUAACUGACGCUGAGGCGCGAAAGCGUGGGGAGCAAACAGGAUUAGAUACCCUGGUAGUCCACGCCGUAAACGAUGAGUGCUAAGUGUUAGAGGGUUUCCGCCCUUUAGUGCUGCAGCUAACGCAUUAAGCACUCCGCCUGGGGAGUACGGCCGCAAGGCUGAAACUCAAAGGAAUUGACGGGGGCCCGCACAAGCGGUGGAGCAUGUGGUUUA